GGAGCCGUGGGUGAGUGGCUGAAACCAGCGGUUUGCUAAACCGUCAGGCGGGGUCAACCCGUCUCGAGGGUUCGAAUCCCUCCGGCUCCGCCA
rnacentral:tRNA from 1 species